GACCUGGUAGUGGAGUGGUUACCACACCUCCUGCAAAUGAGGAUGGUGGAAUACGUUUGAGCAGGAGAGUUCCGUUCGAUUCGGAGUCAGGUGU